UGGGGAAUAUUGCACAAUGGACGGAAGUCUGAUGCAGCAACGCCGCGUGCGGGAUGACGGCCUUCGGGUUGUAAACCGCUUUUUCUCAUGACGAAGUUUUUUGACGGUAGUGGGGGAAGAAGCACCGGCUAACUACGUGCCAGCAGCCGCGGUGAUACGUAGGGUGCGAGCGUUGUCCGGAAUUAUUGGGCGUAAAGAGCUUGUAGGCGGUUUGUCGCGUCGAUAGUGCAAACUCAGUGCUUAACGCUGAGCCUGCUGUUGAUACGGGCAGACUAGAGGAAGGUAGGGGAGAAUGGAAUUCCCGGUGGAGCGGUGGAAUGCGCAGAUAUCGGGAGGAACACCGGUGGCGAAGGCGGUUCUCUGGGCCUUUCCUGACGCUGGGAAGCGAAAGCGUGGGGAGCGAACAGG
rnacentral:rRNA from 1 species